UACGGAGGGUGCGAGCGUUGUCCGGAAUCACUGGGCGUAAAGGGCGCGUAGGCGGCCUGAUAAGUAGGGGGUGAAAUCCUGCGGCUUAACCGCAGGGCUGCCUUCUAAACUGUCAGGCUGGAGCACAGUAGAGGCAGAGGGAAUUUCCGGUGGAGCGGUGAAAUGCGUAGAGAUCGGAAAGAACACCAACGGCGAAAGCACUCUGCUGGGCCGACACUGACACUGAGAGACGAAAGCUAGGGGAGCGAAUGGG
rnacentral:rRNA from 1 species